rnacentral:rRNA from 1 species
UGCUGGGAUGUGAUGGGGAGCGAAAUUUAGUAGCGAAGUAGCUGAUUUCACACUGUCAAGAAAAGUCUCUAUCGAGGUUAAAGGUACCCGUACCGUAAACCGACACAGGUGGGUGAGGAGAGUAUCCGAAGGCCCGCGAGAGAACUGUUGUUAAGGAACUCGGCAAAAUGACCCCGUAACUUAGGGAUAAGGGGUGCCACCAUCCGGUGGCCGCAGAGAAUAG